AUUAAAUAAAUGGAAAUGGGUGCCCUAAUAAUAGGGAUAAAAGUGAAGUCAGUGCAAGUCUGACGCGGUUCCGCCACUGUAAAUGGUGAGCUGUUUCCGUAUAAGCCACUUAACCUCACUUAACGGUUGUCUUAGGUUUUAUAAGUUGCGUUAAGUGUUGUUUGGGAAGGCGGGAAUAAAAGCAAUGAACCAUAAGCCAGGAAACCUGCCCGUGUCCUUUAUUCACU
rnacentral:ncRNA from 2 species